rnacentral:lncRNA from 1 species
UAUCGAUGCAUCAAAAUCCUGGUGUGGCAGUUAACCAGUUGGAUCAGGAUUCUGAACUGGUUGAAAAGAAUGCUGAAAUGGUUGAACCCAAGGAGGCUGGAGGUGAUGAUGUGCAAAUAAUUGGUGAUGCCAUAGGUGAUGACCUUCCAUCCGAAGAUAAUUUAACUGUAUUGUCACAUCAGAGUCCUGGUAUGGUGACGAACCAGUUGGAUCAGGAUUCUGAUAUGGUUGAAAAGAACACUGAAACGGUUGAAAACACGGAAGCCAGAGGUGAUGAUGUGCAAAGGAAUGGUGAUGACCUUCUGUCUGAAGAUAAUUCAACCGUAUUAUUGAAUCAAAAUUCUGGUAUGGCUGUGAACCAUUUGGAUCAGGAUUCUGAACUGGUUGAGAACAAGGAUGCUGUUGGUGAUGAUCUGUCUGCAGAAUUAGCCGAACAACCAGCUGCAAA